GACGAACGCUGGCGGUAGGCCUAACACAUGCAAGUCGAACGGCAGCACAGAGGAGCUUGCUCCUUGGGUGGCGAGUGGCGGACGGGUGAGGAAUACAUCGGAAUCUACUCUGUCGUGGGGGAUAACGUAGGGAAACUUACGCUAAUACCGCAUACGACCUACGGGUGAAAGCAGGGGAUCUUCGGACCUUGCGCGAUUGAAUGAGCCGAUGUCGGAUUAGCUAGUUGGCGGGGUAAAGGCCCACCAAGGCGACGAUCCGUAGCUGGUCUGAGAGGAUGAUCAGCCACACUGGAACUGAGACACGGUCCAG
rnacentral:rRNA from 1 species